CAGAUGUCAGGCACAGAGGAUGUGGAGUCAAUGUCAGGUACAGAGGAUGUGGAGUCAAUGUCAGGUGUCAGGCACAGAGGAUGUGGAGUCAAUGUCAGGUGUCAGGCACAGAGGAUGUGGAGACAAUGUCAGGUGUCAGGCACAGAGGAUGUGGAGUCAAUGUCAGGUGUCAGGCACAGAGGAUGUGGAGACAAUGUCAGGUGUCAGGCACAGAGGAUGUGGAGUCAAUGUCAGGUGUCAGGCACAGAGGAUGUGGAGACAAUGUCAGGUGUCAGGCACAGAGGAUGUGGAGUCAAUGUCAGGUGUCAGGUACAGAGGAUGUGGAGACAAUGUCAGGUGUCAGGCACAGAGGAUGUGGAGACAAUGUCAGGCACAGAGGAUGUGGAGUCAAUGUCAGGUGUCAGGCACAGAGGAUGUGGAGUCAAUGUCAGGCACAGAGGAUGUGGAGUCAAUGUCAGGCACAGAGGAUGUGGAGUCAAUGUCAGGUGUCAGGCACAGAGGAUGUGGAGUCAAUGUCAGG